UUUCGAGGCAUUUUUCGGCCAAACCACGACGAGUCAGACGUCAUGUGAGAGGAAAUUUGCUAGUGCAAUGAAGGAAAAACUGUGCAGAUUCUCUGAAGCUCCACAUCACGGAGAUUGAUGGUAUCGAGAAUGCUGAGAAUAUUGCUAGUCAUGCUGGUUUAACUGAAAUGGUACAUUGUGCUUUAUUUGACGAUGAGUGUCUACUUCACCAUUGUUUUAUGAACUUAGGGUGAAAUUCUCGUGUUUGUUCUCUCCAGGUUAUAAACUGCAUUAACAAGUGUGAGGGUUGUCAUCAUGCUGAACUUUAUAGCAAUAUACUGGUAAAAUGCAUGAAAACACUUUUUUUUUCUCCCAAGUAAUUAACAAAAAAAACAAUAGCAUAAAUCAGUUUAUUAUAUAGACAACAAGAUGUAAAUGAGUAUCUUUUGCCGACCUAAGGCCCCGUUUGGGGUUUGCUGUGCUUUUAGAAUAAGCUGUUUAUUUUGAGGACCUAAAGUGUUUGGUCGUUGAAGAUGUAGGAGUUGUGGGUCAAAACAGGUGAAAGAGUGCUUCUAAAAAAAUGAUUUGAACAGAAGCAUGCGGAGCCGUUUAAUUAAAUAUGUAUUGUCCUCGCUUGUUUUCAGAAAUGACGUGAAUUACCCUGCACAGUUUUCACCCUCAGUGAAAACUAGGUUUCAAAGGAAAAUGGGUGAAAACUGGGUUUCAAAGGAAAAUGCUUGGGUACUCACCAGUGAGUACUCAUCUUUUGGUUUUGUCAAAUACUAUUUUAACACUUGCUUUAUUGUUUAAAAAAAUAAUGAACAUGUUAUCUCAUUAGUGAGUACUGUAUUAUCUGGUUUCAAAUAUUGGACUUGAGGUGUCGAUUGACAUGUGUGGCAAGAGAAAGUGGGUGGCGCAUCCAAUAUGGAGUUGUGAAGCUUUACUUCACAGCUCAUUAUUCUUUUUUAGCUCAACAAUAUCAUAUGCUAGGCUUAGUGUUGCAAAUUUCUAUGGGCAUAUAAUAUGCAGACUUCCUAUUAUCAAUAAAAGUGCAUUCUCUCUAUGGGAUUCCUUGUCCUGCUUCAGGAACUAAUUUGGUUUCUUGUGUUUUUAUAUUAUAUAGCUUACUGGAGGCCCAACUUCAGAGCCACAGUUGAAGGAGCGUCUUCAGAAAGAUGUGCAGUAGGUAUGGCUUUUCAAAGAAGCACUGUAAUGGCUUUUCCCCACCAAUGUUUGAUUCUUGAAUUUGGAUUCUCUCCCUUAAUCAGUGACAGAUUGAGAGGAUUAAAAUAGGUGAAUUCUGUAAAGGGGGAUGUUAUUGCUCAUCCCCUAAAUUUCAAUUGACAUUCCUUUUUAUGCGCAGAAACUUUUGAAUAAUUUUGAGUGGAAGUAGUUAGAUUGAUACAAUUUUGAGGAGUGCCAGUUUACAUGAUAAAAUUAUUCGUACUCAGUCUUGUAUGAGCCAUUUUGACUCUUGGAGCAAAUUUUGGUGAUGUUGCUCUACAUAUUUAGUUGGAAAGUGGAUUUGUGGAGUUUGUUGGAGAUGCUCUUAUUGUAUGGAUGAAGUAUCAAAGUGUCAUCUUCUAUCUGCAGAGGUCUUCUUCCCAUCAAGUUAAAGUAUUAACGAGACCAAGUAAAAGUAUGCAGUGUUUCUAGUUCUUCACUCUCUUUGUACAUGCUACAACAGAUAAAUUGUGUUCUAAUUUAUGCAGCAAACCUUCAUGCUGUAAUAAUAGUGGUAUUAUAAAAUUUAAUGUACGGAAAAUACUUCCAUGCAAUUUGUCUUCCCUGCCUUGUUAUUUAUGCAGUGUUUGGGUACGUGGUAGUCUAUUGGCAUCUCUUGGUUCAUUCCAGCACAUGUGGUUAACCAAGAACGAGUAAGUGUCAUAUUUUUGUGUGUGCUUGCACUUUGACUAGUAUUGGAGUUACACAUCCUCAUUUUAUGAACGUUUAAGCCAUCAUGACAUGUGUGGCAAUUACCUAAUCAUAUUUUUGGAAAGUGUUACCUAAUCAUAUUUGGUAUCAUGUAAAUGCUAUUGAUAGGUUCGAAUACUAUGGGUAUGUCAGGGCAGAAGAAAAAUGGGAGUUUUAUAAGGACAUCUAGCAUGAAUUCGUAUUUGUAUAUGCUUGAAUCACAGCUUAAAGCUAUAAGCCAAAGA